rnacentral:rRNA from 1 species
GUGCACGCUGGCGGUAGGCCUAACCCAUGCAAGUCGCACGGCAGCACAGUAAGAUCUUGCUCUUACGGGUGGCGAGUGGCGGACGGGUGAGGAAUACAUCGGAAUCUACUUUUUCGUGGGGGAUAACGUAGGGAAACUUACGCUAAUACCGCAUACGACCUACGGGUGAAAGCAGGGGAUCUUCGGACCUUGCGCGAUUGAAUGAGCCGAUGUCGGAUUAGCUAGUUGGCGGGGUAAAGGCCCACCAAGGCGACGAUCCGUAGCUGGUCUGAGAGGAUGAUCAGCCACACUGGAACUGAGACACGGUCCAGACUCCUACGGGAGGCAGCAGUGGGGAAUAUUGGACAAUGGGGGCAAGCCUGAUCCAGCCAUACCGCGUGGGUGAAGAAGGCCUUCGGGUUGUAAAGCCCUUUUGUUGGGAAAGAAAAGCAGCAGGUUAAUACCCCGCUGUUCUGACGGUACCCAAAGAAUAAGCACCGGCUAACUUCGUG